rnacentral:rRNA from 1 species
UUGGUGCCUUCGGGAACGUCUGACACAGGUGCUGCAUGGCUGUCGUCAGCUCGUGUCGUGAGAUGUUGGGUUAAGUCCCGUAACGAGCGCAACCCUUGUCCUUAGUUACCAGCACGUUAUGGUGGGCACUCUAAGGAGACUGCCGGUGACAAACCGGAGGAAGGUGGGGAUGACGUCAAGUCCUCAUGGCCUUUAUGACCAGGGCUACACACGUACUACAAUGGCCGAUACAAAGGGCAGCGACACUGCGAGGUGAAGCCAAUCCCGUAAAAUCGGUCUCAGUCCGGAUUGGAGUCUGCAACUCGACUCCAUGAAGUUGGAAUCGCUAGUAAUCGUGGAUCAGCAUGCCACGGUGAAUACGUUCCCGGGCCUU